rnacentral:rRNA from 1 species
UCUACGGCCAUACCACCCUGAACACGCCCGAUCUCGUCUGAUCUCGGAAGCUAAGCAGGGUCGGGCCUGGUUAGUACUCGGAUGGGAAAAGUGGUAGUUUCUAAAA